rnacentral:rRNA from 1 species
GAUUAACGCUGGCGGCGUGCCUAACACAUGCAAGUCGAGCGGCAGCGAGUUUUACACUGAAUUCUGGAAGCUUCUAGUUGAAAGAGAAGAUUUAUUCAAGAAUUUUGUGUAAAAUGUCGGCGAGCGGCGGACGGCUGAGUAACGCGUGGGAACGUACCCCAAAGUGAGGGAUAACGCAUCGAAAGGUGUGCUAAUACCGCAUAUGGUCUUCGGAUUAAAGCCUUCGGGCGCUUUGGGAACGGCCUGCGUAAGAUUAGAUAGUUGGUGGGGUAAUGGCCUACCAAGUCGACGAUCUUUAACUGGUUUGAGAGGAUGAUCAGUCAGACUGGAACUGAGACACGGUCCAGACUCCUACGGGAGGCAGCAGUGAGGAAUCUUCCACAAUGGGCGAAAGCCUGAUGGAGCAACGCCGCGUGCAGGAUGAAGGCCUUCGGGUUGUAAACUGCUUUUAUAAGUGAGGAUUGUGACAGUAACUUAUGAAUAAGGAUCGGCUAACUACGUGCCAGCAGCCGCGGUCAUACGUAGGAUCCGAGCGUUAUCCGGAGUGACUGGGCGUAAAGAGUUGCGUAGGUGGUUUAAUAAGCGAAUAGUGAAAUCUGGUGGCUCAUCCAUUCAGACUAUUAUUCGAACUGUUAAACUCGAGAGCAGAAGAGGUAGCUGGAAUUUCUAGUGUAGGAGUGAAAUCCGUAGAUAUUAGAAGGAACACCGAUGGCGUAGGCAGGCUACUGGGCUGUUUCUGACACUGAGGCACGAAAGCGUGGGGAGCGAACCGGAUUAGAUACCCGGGUAGUCCACGCCGUAAACGAUGGAUACUAGCUGUUUGGGGUAUCGACCCCCUGAGUAGCGAAGCUAACGCGUUAAGUAUCCCGCCUGUGGAGUACGAUCGCAAGAUUAAAACAUAAAGGAAUUGACGGGGACCCGCACAAGCGGUGGAUCAUGUUCUUUAAUUCGAUGAUAACCGAUAAACCUUACCAGGUCUUGACAUCCUUGGAAUCUUUCAGAAAUGAGAGAGUGCUUUUUAAGAGCCAAGUGACAGGUGAUGCAUGGCCGUCGUCAGCUCGUGUCGUGAGAUGUUUGGUUAAGUCCAUCAACGAGCGCAACCCUUGUCAGUAGUUGUAUUUUUCUACUGAGACUGCCCCGGUAACGGGGAGGAAGGAGGGGAUGACGUCAGGUCAGUAUUUCCCUUACGUCCUGGGCUAGAAACGUGAUACAAUGGCUAGUACAAUGCGCAGCGAAGCCGCGAGGUGAAGCAAAUCGCAUCAAAGCUAGUCCCAGUUCGGAUUGUAGGCUGAAACUCGCCUGCAUGAAGUCGGAAUCGCUAGUAAUCGCAGAUCAGCAUGCUGCGGUGAAUACGUUCCCGGGUCU